ACAGAGGGGGCAAGCGUUGUUCGGAAUUACUGGGCGUAAAGGGCGCGUAGGCGGCCCGCUAAGUCGAACGUGAAAUCCCCGAGCUCAACUCGGGAACUGCGUCCGAUACUGGCAGACUUGAGGGAGGCAGAGGAAAGUGGAAUUCCCGGUGUAGUGGUGAUAUGCGUAGAUAUCGGGAGGAACACCAGUGGCGAAGGCGGCUUUCUGGGCCCUACCUGACGCUGAGACGCGAAAGCGUGGGGAGCGAACCGGA
rnacentral:rRNA from 1 species